UCCUACGGGAGGCAGCAGUGGGGAAUUUUCCGCAAUGGGCGAAAGCCUGACGGAGCAACGCCGCGUGAGGGACGAAGGCCUCUGGGCUGUAAACCUCUUUUCUCAAGGAAGAAGAUCUGACGGUACUUGAGGAAUAAGCCACGGCUAAUUCCGUGCCAGCAGCCGCGGUAAUACGGGAGUGGCAAGCGUUAUCCGGAAUUAUUGGGCGUAAAGCGUCCGCAGGCGGCCUUUCAAGUCUGCUGUUAAAACGUGGAGCUUAACUCCAUCAAGGCAGUGGAAACUGUUGGGCUUGAGUGUGGUAGGGGCAGAGGGAAUUCCCGGUGUAGCGGUGAAAUGCGUAGAUAUCGGGAAGAACACCGGUGGCGAAGGCGCUCUGCUGGGCCAUAACUGACGCUCAUGGACGAAAGCCAGGGGAGCGAAAGGGAUUAGAUACCCCUGUAGUCCUGGCCGUAAACGAUGAACACUAGGUGUCGGGGGAAUCGACCCCUUCGGUGUCGUAGCCAACGCGUUAAGUGUUCCGCCUGGGGAGUACGCACGCAAGUGUGAAACUCAAAGGAAUUGACGG
rnacentral:rRNA from 1 species